UACGUAGGGUGCAAGCGUUGUUCGGAAUUACUGGGCGUAAAGGGCGCGCAGGCGGCCCUCCAAGUCAGGCGUGAAAGCCCCGGGCUCAACCCGGGAACAGCGCUUGAGACUGGGGGGCUUGAGUUCGGGAGAGGAGAGUGGAAUUCCCAGUGUAGAGGUGAAAUUCGUAGAUAUUGGGAAGAACACCGGUGGCGAAGGCGGCUCUCUGGACCGACACUGACGCUGAGGCGCGAAAGCGUGGGGAGCAAACAGG
rnacentral:rRNA from 1 species